GGAUCGCGAGACAAAGCCUCCGUUCGUCCUGUGUAAAAACCUUCGUCCGUCCCAUAUAAAAAGUUCCAAAGGUGUUUUAUUUUUUUUGGUUUUUGGAGCGUCGGGGCCAUCCUCUCUCUCACUCGCCGUGAGCCUCCACACUCCUUUUUCUUCUAUGGAGGGGUGGCAUUGGAGGCCCCCGGCAUGGCAUCAUCAUCGUCCUCGGCGUUGGUGAGGAGCUCGAUCCCGUUCGACUUUACCGAAUCUAGAGUUCUUGGACAGAGAUGAAAUGGCACGGGAAGGGUGGGCCGCGGUGUUAGAGACCCAUGGUGUGGCAUCGACGUUGUCGUCGUCCUCGGCAUGUCGCGUUGGCUCGAGAGGCUUUGGUGGACGAAUGCCGAUGGUUGAAUUUCAGCGCACUCCGGAUAGAAAAUCGUGUUAGUCUCGAAGGUCAUCUUGUGGGCUGGCUCUCAGUGGCUUUUCUUUUUAUUAUGAGAUUUAUUUCUUCCUUUUGCUAAUAUCAA